GCCCUGCUAGCUCAAUCGGUAGAGCGUGAGACUUUUACAGCACUCGGCAGUAAAAAUUGGCUUACGUGUCAUACGUUCACGUGAUCUCAAGGCUGCGGGUUCGAGCCCCGCGUGGGGCU
rnacentral:tRNA from 1 species